AGCUUUUUGAUCUUGAGGGACCUGGUUAAAGUUUGUUCUUGUCAAGGAUGAGAUGGCAGUUACACAAUUAAGCAAGCCCAUUAUAGCUUACAGGAGGAGGGUUGUUUCAAGAAAAAAAAUUUAUGCUUUGAAGAGACAAAUUUUUCUGGUGAUAAAGUACACCAAGACAAAGAGAACAAUGGUGAGCAAGUGCACCUGAAAGAAGCAGAAAAAUGGUGAGAAGUGCACCA
rnacentral:misc_RNA from 1 species